CUCUUAGAUGUUCUGGGCCGCACGCGCGCUACACUGAUGCAUUCAACGAGUUUCUUCCUGGUCCGAGAGGAAUGGGUAACCUUUUGAAAGUGCAUCGUGAUAGGGAUAGACUAUUGCAAUUAUUGGUCUUCAACGAGGAAUUCCUAGUAGACGUAGUUCAUCAGACUGCAUCGAUUACGUCCCUGCCCUUUGUACACACCGCCCGUCGCUCCUACCGAUUGAAUGCUCAGGUGAGCCAUUCGGACUUUCAUCAUGCUGGUUUCCAGUUUUGAUGAAGGAAAGUCUUGCGAACCUUAUCAUUUAGAGGAAGGAGAAGUCGUAACA
rnacentral:rRNA from 1 species